AUUGGCAUCAAGAUUGUCCUCUAAUAGGCCUUGUCCUCUGGGGAAAGCAUGGUCUGCCCAUUCAAGUGUGAGCAAGAGUUGUUCAACAUCCUUAAUCAUCAGAGAAAUGCAAAUCAAAACAACCCUGAGAUUCCAUCUCACACCAGUCAGAAUGGCUAAGAUCAAAAAUUCAGGUGACAGCAGAUGCUGGCGAGGAUGUGGAAAAAGAGGAAAACUCCUCCAUUGUUGGUGGGAUUGCAAGCUUUUACAACCACUCUGGAAAUCAGUCUUGUGGUUCCUCAGAAAAUUGGACAUAGUACUACCGGAGGAUCCCACAAUACCUCUCCUGGGCAUAUAUCCAGAAGAUGUCCCAACAGGAGCUUAGAGCAAAAGCUUCUAAAAUCAAGAAGAAGAAAAAGCUUUUUCAGAGUCAUUCCAGGAUCCCAUGGAGUUGUGACUAGAUAAGACACUUGGCUGCUCUGAGACGAAAAUGUCUUACGGAUUGGCAGAUAAGGAAGAGCUCUGACUGCCUGUCCCUAGUCAUGGAAGGGAGUGAUAAGCAGACAUAGAAGUAAGGACCUGCAAGAGGAACACACCUUCACACUCCUAUAAGUGAAUUUAUCAGAUAAAAGCAAGAGAUUCAGCAUCACUAAGAGCAAAAAUGUGUGAAAGACUAUGAAAAGGAAUAAAGUGGGAGCUUGCAUCUUUAGUGUCCAAAGUACAAGCCCUGUUGCCUGGAAUUCUUCAUUAUACAAACCUUUAUUCAAUGAGCGUCUGCUGACAGGGUUGGACAACACAAAGUCAAUCCCCAGGAGUCACGUGACAGAAAGAACCAACUCUUGCAAGUUGACCUCUGACUUCCAUAUAGUGGCCGUGCCAUGUGCAUCCCUACCAGAGCCACAGUAUCCACUUCUUUGCAUGUGAGCCAGCAACCCACGUGACUUACAUCUCUACAGGGAAAAACACCUAUACCACUUAAUUCUCAAGGUUGUUGAGAAGUACCUCCCCUAUAUUCAUCAAUAUGGGAGACUAUAAGAAGAAUGGUUGUUUUAUUAUAUAUUUGAAUAUUUCCAUAUGAAAUUGUGAAUACUACUUAAUGACAGGUAAGGUCCUACAUUGUGGUAUCCUUGCUGUAAGAGUUUAAAGUAUAAGACACAGAGUACAUUUUUCCACUUGUUCUUUGUUUGUUAGCCUAAGGAAGUACUACAUUUUAAUGGUAUCUAUCAUAUUCUUGUAUGUGACCAGAUAACUAGGAUCUUACAUUGAAUCUUACUUUACACUGUAUAGCUAAAGCUUGAAUGAACUCGGAAAGACCCAUGUGUCAAAAUCUUUAUCCCCAGGUUAGUGCUAUUGGGAGGUAGGACCUAGUAAAAGGGCUUUAGGUUGUUAUUGAGGAAGUAGCCCUAAAGACUAUAAAAGCCUAUAGCCCUCCAUUUUUUUAAUUUUUAAAAAUGUUCUGCUGGUUAUGAGGUGAGCAGUUUUUCUUCAACAUACACACACAAAGAUACACAAAUACACAAACCCACACACUACAUGCGCACAUAUUCAUAUGCAAACACAUGCAUAUGAAUGGAUGUGAAGUGGAAACUUCUAGUUUCUUUGGGGAGUCAGUUAUGUCAAAUGAUGUUUUUUUUCUGGGGCACACAGGUAAAAGGAUAUUUUGCUAAAGCAAGCAACAGGUGAAGGGUCAUUUUGCUAUAGCAAACAUGUAAAAGGGUGCAUGAUGUUUAGAAAGAAUAUAAAUAUGACUCCACAGACAGUGGGAUCUCGAGCAUUGGUUGGAUUUGCUCCACCUUACUAUUCUUUUUUUUUCCAUUUUUUAUUAGGUAUUUAGCUCAUUUACAUUUCCAAUGCUAUACCAAAAGUCCCCCAUACCCACCCAACUCCACUCCCCUACCCACCCACUCCCCCUUUUUGGCCCUGGCGUUCCCCUGUACUGGGGCAUACAAAGUUUACGUGUCCAAUGGGCCUCUCUUUCCAGUGAUGGCCGAUUAGGCCAUCUUUUGUUACAUAUGCAGCAAGAGUCAAGAGCUCCGGGAUACUGGUUAGUUCAUAAUGUUGUUCCACCUAUAGGGUUGCAGAUCCCUUUAGCUCCUUGGGUUCUUUCUCUAGCUCCUCCAUUGGGAGCCCUGUGAUCCAUCCAUUAGCUGACUGUGAGCAUCCACUUCUGUGUUUGCUAGGCCCCGGCAUAGUCUCACAAGAGAUAGCUACAUCUGGGUCCUUUCAAUAAAAUCUUGCUAGGGUAUGCAAUGGUGUCAGCGUUUGGAUGCUGAUUAUGGGGUGGAUCCCUGGAUAUGGCAGUCUCUACAUGGUCCAUCCUUUCAUCUCAGCUCCAAACUUUGUCUCUGUAACUCCUUCCAUGGGUGUUUUGUUCCCAAUUCUAAGGAGGGGCAUAGUGUCCACACUUCAGUCUUCAUUCUUCUUGAGUUUCAUGUGUUUAGCAAAUUGUACCUUAUAUCUUGGGUAUCCUAGGUUUGGGGCUAAUAUCCACUUAUCAGUGAGUACAUAUUGUGUGAGUUCCUUUGUGAAUGUGUUACCUCACUCAGGAUGAUGCCCUCCAGGUCCAUCCAUUUGGCUAGGAAUUUCAUAAAUUCAUUCUUUUUAAUAGCUGAGUAGUACUCCAUUGUGUAGAUGUACCACAUUUUCUGUAUCCAUUCCUCUGUUGAGGGGCAUCUGGGUUCUUUCCAGCUUCUGGCUAUUAUAAAUAAGGCUGCUAUGAACAUAGUGGAGCAUGUGUCCUUCUUACCAGUUGGGGCAUCUUCUGGAUAAAUGCCCAGGAGAGGCAUUGCUGGAUCCUCCAGUAGUACUAUGUCCAAUUUUCUGAGGAACCGCCAGACUGAUUUCCAGAGUGGUUGUACAAGCCUGCAAUCCCACCAACAAUGGAGGAGUGUUCCUCUUUCUCCACAUCCACGCCAGCAUCUGCUGUCACCUGAAUUUUUGAUCUUAGCCAUUCUGACUGGUGUCCACCUCACUAUUCUUUACUGAUGACACACGUGGAUAGGUUCACCUUACACUGCAUUGCCAAACUUCGCUUGUGGUGACUUCAUAGAGAAAAACUCACCAAAGAACUUCUCAUGAGAUUCCUGCAACUUCUUGCUGCUUCCAUGGACUCUGGCUGAUUGAUAAGCCUUGCAGUUUCUUCUGGAUUGAACUGCCCUUGCUAAUUCAUGUGUAGUGUCUGCCAAGUGGACAGGACUCCAGCUACUGAUUAAUGGUUGGUGUUUGCUAGUGGACUGGACUGAGAACAACAAAGAUUGGAAUUGCCCCGAAGAACUAUUUCUAAACAGGUCCACUUCCCCUGUACCUUAAUAACCUUUCUUUUCCACUACCUCUGGUAGGUUGUGGACUGGAGGGGGGGUGGUUGAAUUCUUAUAUAAGUACGUUGUGAAAAAUAUAUGCCUAUACAUAUGCACAAACACACACACAACUUACCACAAGUCUAAAAGUGAUAUGAUUUAUCAAACAUGAAUUCAAACCUUGAAAACUAUGAGUUGAAAUAAAGAUUUUUUUUCU
rnacentral:lncRNA from 1 species